GACGAACGCUGGCGGCGUGCUUAACACAUGCAAGUCGAACGGAAAGGCCCUGCUUGCCGGGUACUCGAGUGGCGAACGGGUGAGUAACACGUGGGUGAUCUGCCCUGCACUUCGGGAUAAGCUUGGGAAACUGGGUCUAAUACCGGAUAGGAGCCAUCUUUAGUGUGGUGGUUGGAAAGUUUUUUCGGUGUAGGAUGAGCUCGCGGCCUAUCAGCUUGUUGGUGGGGUAAUGGCCUACCAAGGCGGCGACGGGUAGCCGGCCUGAGAGGGUGUACGGCCACAUUGGGACUGGGAUACGGCCCAGACUCCUACGGGAGGCAGCAGUGGGGAAUAUUGCACAAUGGGCGCAAGCCUGAUGCAGCGACGCCGCGUGGGGGAUGAAGGCCUUCGGGUUGUAAACUCCUUUCGCUAGGGACGAAGCUUUUUGUGACGGUACCUAGAUAAGAAGCACCGGCUAACUACGUG
rnacentral:rRNA from 1 species